CCGGGACCAACUUUUCAACGGGAGGCAGCAGUAGGGAAUCUUCCGCAAUGGACGAAAGUCUGACGGAGCAACGCCGCGUGAGUGAUGAAGGCUUUCGGGUCGUAAAACUCUGUUGUUAGGGAAGAACAAGUGCUAGUUGAAUAAGCUGGCACCUUGACGGUACCUAACCAGAAAGCCACGGCUAACUACGUGCCAGCAGCCGCGGUAAUACGUAGGUGGCAAGCGUUAUCCGGAAUUAUUGGGCGUAAAGCGCGCGCAGGUGGUUUCUUAAGUCUGAUGUGAAAAGCCCACGGCUCAACCGUGGGAGGGUCAUUGGAAACUGGGAGACUUGAGUGCAGAAGAGGAAAGUGGAAUUCCAUGUGUAGCGGUGAAAUGCGUAGAGAUAUGGAGGAACACCAGUGGCGAAGGCGACUUUCUGGUCUGUAACUGACACUGAGGCGCGAAAGCGUGGGGAGCAAACAGGAUUAGAUACUCUGGUAGUCCACGCCGUAAACGAUGAGUGCUAAGUGUUAGAGGGUUUCCAGCCCUUUAGUGCUGAAAGUUAACGCAUUAAGCACUCCGCC
rnacentral:rRNA from 1 species